rnacentral:rRNA from 1 species
GUGGGGAAUAUUGCACAAUGGGGGAAACCCUGAUGCAGCAACGCCGCGUGAGUGAUGAAGGCCUUCGGGUUGUAAAGCUCUGUCUUUUGGGACGAUAAUGACGGUACCAAAAGAGGAAGCCACGGCUAACUACGUGCCAGCAGCCGCGGUAAUACGUAGGUGGCAAGCGUUGUCCGGAUUUACUGGGCGUAAAGGAUGCGUAGGCGGAUAUUUAAGUGGGAUGUGAAAUACCCGGGCUCAACCUGGGUGCUGCAUUCCAAACUGGGUAUCUGGAGUGCGGGAGAGGAGAGUGGAAUUCCUAGUGUAGCGGUGAAAUGCGUAGAGAUUAGGAAGAACACCAGUGGCGAAGGCGACUCUCUGGACCGUAACUGACGCUGAGGCAUGAAAGCGUGGGGAGCAAACAGGAUUAGAUACCCCAGUAGUCC